rnacentral:rRNA from 1 species
GAUGAACGCUGGCGGCGUGCCUAAUACAUGCAAGUCGAGCGAACAGACGAGGCGCUUGCUCCUCUGACGUUAGCGGCGGACGGGUGAGUCACAUGUGGAUAACCUACCUAUCAGACUGGUAUAAUUUCGGGAAACCGGCGCUAAUACCGGAUAAUAUAUUGAUCCGCAUUGUUCAAUAGUAAAAGACGGUUUUGCUGUCUCUUAUAGAUGGUUCCGCGCCGCAUUAGCUAGUUGGUAAGGUAACGGCUUACCAAGGCAACGAUGCGUAGCCGACUGGAGAGGGUGGUCGGCCACACGGGAACGGAGACGCGGUCCAGACGCCUACGGGAGGGAGCAGUAGGGAAUCGUACGCAAUGGGCGAAAGCCUGACGGAGCAACGCCGCGUGAGUGAUGAAAGUCUUCGGUGCGUAAAACUCUGUUAUUAGGGAAAAACAAAUGUGGAAGUAACUAUACACGUAUUGACGGUACCUAAUAAGAAAGCCACGGCUAACUACGUG